rnacentral:rRNA from 2 species
AGACCCGAAACCCGGUGAUCUAGCCAUGGGCAGGUUGAAGGUUGGGUAACACUAACUGGAGGACCGAACCGACUAAUGUUGAAAAAUUAGCGGAUGACCUGUGGCUGGGGGUGAAAGGCCAAUCAAACCGGGAGAUAGCUGGUUCUCCCCGAAAGCUAUUUAGGUAGCGCCUCGUGAAUUCAUCUCCGGGGGUAGAGCACUGUUUCGGCUAGGGGGCCAUCCCGGCUUACCAACCCGAUGCAAACUGCGAAUACCGGAGAAUGUUAUCACGGGAGACACACGGCGGGUGCUAACGUCCGUCGUGAAGAGGGAAACAACCCAGACCGCCAGCUAAGGUCCCAAAGUCAUGGUUAAGUGGGAAACGAUGUGGGAAGGCCCAGACAGCCAGGAUGUUGGCUUAGAAGCAGCCAUCAUUUAAAGAAAGCGUAAUAGCUCACUGGUCGAGUCGGCCUGCGCGGAAGAUGUAACGGGGCUAAACCAUGCACCGAAGCUGCGGCAGCGACGCUUAUGCGUUGUUGGGUAGGGGAGCGUUCUGUAAGCCUGCGAAGGUGGCCUGUGAGGGUUGCUGGAGGUAUCAGAAGUGCGAAUGCUGACAUAAGUAACGAUAAAGCGGGUGAAAAGCCCGCUCGCCGGAAGACCAAGGGUUCCUGUCCAACGUUAAUCGGGGCAGGGUGAGUCGACCCCUAAGGCGAGGCCGAAAGGCGUAGUCGAUGGGAAACGGGUUAAUAUUCCCGUACUUGGUGUUACUGCGAAGGGGGGACGGAGAAGGCUAUGUUGGCCGGGCGACGGUUGUCCCGGUUUAAGCGUGUAGGUGUGUGUUCCAGGUAAAUCCGGUUCACUUUAACACUGAGGCGUGACGACGAGGCACUACGGUGCUGAAGCAACAAAUGCCCUGCUUCCAGGAAAAGCCUCUAAGCAUCAGGUAACAUCAAAUCGUACCCCAAACCGACACAGGUGGUCAGGUAGAGAAUACCAAGGCGCUUGAGAGAACUCGGGUGAAGGAACUAGGCAAAAUGGUGCCGUAACUUCGGGAGAAGGCACGCUGACACGUAGGUGAAGUGAUUUACUCAUGGAGCUGAAGUCAGUCGAAGAUACCAGCUGGCUGCAACUGUUUAUUAAAAACACAGCACUGUGCAAACACGAAAGUGGACGUAUACGGUGUGACGCCUGCCCGGUGCCGGAAGGUUAAUUGAUGGGGUCAGCGCAAGCGAAGCUCCUGAUCGAAGCCCCGGUAAACGGCGGCCGUAACUAUAACGGUCCUAAGGUAGCGAAAUUCCUUGUCGGGUAAGUUCCGACCUGCACGAAUGGCGUAAUGAUGGCCAGGCUGUCUCCACCCGAGACUCAGUGAAAUUGAACUCGCUGUGAAGAUGCAGUGUACCCGCGGCAAGACGGAAAGACCCCGUGAACCUUUACUAUAGCUUGACACUGAACAUUGAGCCUUGAUGUGUAGGAUAGGUGGGAGGCUUUGAAGUGUGGACGCCAGUCUGCAUGGAGCCGACCUUGAAAUACCACCCUUUAAUGUUUGAUGUUCUAACGUGGACCCGUUACCCGGGUUGCGGACAGUGUCUGGUGGGUAGUUUGACUGGGGCGGUCUCCUCCUAAAGAGUAACGGAGGAGCACGAAGGUUGGCUAAUCCUGGUCGGACAUCAGGAGGUUAGUGCAAUGGCAUAAGCCAGCUUGACUGCGAGCGUGACGGCGCGAGCAGGUGCGAAAGCAGGUCAUAGUGAUCCGGUGGUUCUGAAUGGAAGGGCCAUCGCUCAACGGAUAAAAGGUACUCCGGGGAUAACAGGCUGAUACCGCCCAAGAGUUCAUAUCGACGGCGGUGUUUGGCACCUCGAUGUCGGCUCAUCACAUCCUGGGGCUGAAGUAGGUCCCAAGGGUAUGGCUGUUCGCCAUUUAAAGUGGUACGCGAGCUGGGUUUAGAACGUCGUGAGACAGUUCGGUCCCUAUCUGCCGUGGGCGCUGGAGAACUGAGGGGGGCUGCUCCUAGUACGAGAGGACCGGAGUGGACGCAUCACUGGUGUUCGGGUUGUCAUGCCAAUGGCACUGCCCGGUAGCUAAAUGCGGAAGAGAUAAGUGCUGAAAGCAUCUAAGCACGAAACUUGCCCCGAGAUGAGUUCUCCCUGAGACUUAGAGUCUCCUGAAGGAACGUUGAAGACGACGACGUUGAUAGGCCGGGUGUGUAAGCGCAGCGAUGCGUUGAGCUAACCGGUACUAAUGAACCGUGAGGCUUAACCUUACAACGCCGAAG